rnacentral:rRNA from 1 species
UGAGCUCCAGCUCUCCGAACGCGACCCCAGUCAGGCGU